rnacentral:lncRNA from 1 species
CUGCUGCAGAGCGCUCUGAUAGAAGGAAUGAUUAGAUAAGACUAUUUAAUAAACUGUUUCACAAAAAAAAUGUCACGUCAAGUGUGAUUUUCAAGUAUUGAAGUAUAGAGGGUGAGGGCUAGAAAUGCAAGAAGUUUCUUCUUUUCUCAUUUAGCUACAGCAGGAUUCGGAGAAGUGAAUUUUGCAAUGGAGUAUUGUUUUUUUUGUCCUUUCUGUUUUUUAGAGAAAGAGUGGUAGCAGUGUGGACUACCUGCACCCACAUCUCCCCUUCAACACUCUUUAGCACCAACAUAUUCACUUCCAGCUUCCAGAACAUUGUGGAUGCUUAUGGUGUGGCAUGUUACAGAGAGGUUAAUCCAGAUUUGGCAUAUGCUGUUUGGUGGGAGAUAUCUGAUUCUUCUGAUGGGGUUGUUCUCCAUUUAUACUGGUGCUGUUUAUAAUGAGUGCUUCAGUAAAGGACUCAAACCCAUGAUGCAGCCCUACAACUGGAGGUACAUGCACAAUAUUACAGCCAAGGCAAAGAUUAGUGUUCAUGCUGUGUCUUUUUGGGUAUUAGUAAAUAAUUACAUUUUUGAAUAUAAAUUUGAACUGAAAUCAUAAAAGUGUCACAAACCAUAACAAUGUGCCCAACAUAGUUGACAGUCAAUAUACUCAAUGAAAAUAGGUUAUUGUAGAUUGUAGAAAAUACUGGGAAAAAAAAUAAGAGGCCUUUUACAAUAAUGUGUUCAAAAUGUUCAACACAGAAGAAAAUAACAUCACAUGAUGCUGGUUGCAUGUUGUAAUGAACCAUUUUUAGGGGCAAAGGGUUGUUCAUUAAGUAACACAGUGAACAGAACUUUUGUAAAUGAUUCAUAUUUUCAAUAUUUUUAAUUUAAACUCAAUAAUUUUUUUCUAAAGCAUUUAGGUUUUAGAAAUGAAUUGAAUAUUUAAUUUAAUGCUCACAUCUCAGCUUGUCUAACAGACUUUUCUUGCUGGAUGAAGGCCCAUCACCUUCAACUCAACCUUACCAAGAGAGAACUGCUUGUUUCAUCACAAUUUCACCAUUCAGUUAGGCACAUCAACCAUAACUCCUUCAAAAACAGCCGAAAACCUUGGAGUUAUGAUUGAUGAUCAGCUGACUUUAUCAGACCACAUUGCUAAAACUCGGAACAUGCUACGACAACUCCUUGUUCAAGCUCUUGUUCUGUCCAGGCUGGACUAUUGCAAUACUCUCUUGGCAGGUCUUCCAGACAGUUCUAUCAAACAUUUACAAUUAAUCCAGAACGUGGCAAGCAAGAUUGGUUUUUUAACUAAGCCAAAAAGAAUGCACGUCACACCUCAGUUUAUCAAUUUGCAAUUACCACAAUAGCUGCUCGCAUAAAAAUCAAGGCAUUGAUGUUUGCCUACAAAACCACCACUGGCUCUGCACCCCUUUACCUAAAUUCAUUACUUCAGACUUAUCUGCCCUCUAGAAGCUUGCAUUCUGCAAGUGAACGUCACUUUAUUGUGACAUCUCAAAGAAAUGGUCACAAAAUCACAGUAAAAGGCGGUACUAAAGUAUGAUUUUUGUGGUGGAUGUGUUAAAAUUGGAUCAUCUUAAUUCAAGUGAUGAAGGAUUUGGAAAGUCUGACAGUGUUGAGCACUACUGUAAGGUUAACCCUGCAUGGUGUAAAUGUUGACUAACAGUUGAAAAUAAACAUUCAUUAGAAAUUUAGAAAAGUAAUCAAAAGUAAUGUUACAUUACUUUAAUAAAGUAAUUGAAAAAGUU